rnacentral:rRNA from 1 species
AAUCAACGCUGGCGGCGUGCCUAACACAUGCAAGUCGAACGCGAGAGGGGCUUCGGCCCCGAUUGAGUGGCGAACGGGUGAGUAACGCGUGGGUGACCUACCUUCGAGUGGGGGAUAACGUCCCGAAAGGGACGCUAAUACCGCAUAACAUCCUGCUUUUGAAUGGGUGGAGAUCAAAGCCGGGGAUCGCAAGACCUGGCGCUUGAUGAGGGGCCCGCGUCUGAUUAGCUAGNGGUGAGGUAACGGCCCACCAAGGCAACGAUCAGUAUCCGGCCUGAGAGGGCGGACGGACACACUGGGACUGAGACACGGCCCAGACUCCUACGGGAGGCAGCAGUGGGGAAUUGUUCGCAAUGGGCGCAAGCCUGACGACGCAACGCCGCGUGGAGGAUGAAGGUCUUCGGA